AGACACAUUGUCAUUAUUGGAAGACAUUAUUGUCAUGUGGCCGGCCCGGUACUCCUGAUUGAUAUUUAAAUUCAGUAUCAAACAGAUGAAGGUGAGUAAGUUGUUGGAAUAGUAGCUCUGGAGUGAGAGUGGAGAGACAUUGUUCAGUUGUGACUUCUGGCUUGGUUCGUCUACUGAAGGAAUCGUCUCGCGAUGUCUUGUACCAACUGUGGCAAAAAAAUCUGAAGCAGUAGUUCCAAGUACAACCAAGCUGUAGCUGUGGAAAUCUGCUGUACAGUUCUGGAGACGUCCCUACCUAUCCAAGAUUGGUCUUUAUAAUACUCGCAAGAGGACAUAGUCAUACGAGACGAUCUCAUCAUCCUCGACAUCGAGGCGUCAUCCAUUAGUUUUUUCCAUCAGCGCAAGAAUUGACCUGAUGUCGACAAGGAAUUAUACCUCAUUGAAUACGAUCGUUGGCUGCCGUAUACGCAUCAGAGCUAUUGACUGGAAGCUGUAAAGGCCUUAUAGCUUACACAUCACCAUCCAUGCGGCCUUGACAUUGAAGAAUGGAACAGGUUUUCAUCAGGAGGUGAUGGCGGGUCAGGUGGAUAGGAGAAUGUUGCUUGGAAAGCAUUGGCAUGAGUGUUAUUUCGGUGAGGUGAAAUCUGACAACAUUUGUUGACCGGCAAAUUUGAUAUUCUUUUUGAGAGGAUCCAGUUUUACCAUGAGAACGAUGUGGAUGAUAAUGGACAUUGAUCGACGAAUCUACAUUUGUGAUACGGGGUUAGAUGGUUUAAAAUUUCAUCACCCGAUGCUGUACAUCUUUAAAUGCACAAGCAAAAUGUUCGCUUUAUGCACACGCUUCAUGGCAAUAGCUUAAUCGUCAAGCAAAUGCUACCAGGCAGUUAGCAAUUGAUUGAGCUUACAAGCAAACGCAUUUGUUGCUCAUUGAUUUGUAUACGGAAUCAAGCAAAAGCCUAGCAAAAGCAAUGGCUACAUUUUCAGUUUUAUACGUACGUAUACACUGCCCGUCAAUAUGUCAUGAACGCAUGAUCGUUAUAUAUGGCUGGAAAGAAUAUCUUCUCCAAAAUAAUUUGCUAUCACAUUUAUGUGGUAUGUCUUCACGUUUGGAUAAUCAGUAGGUAUUAUUUGCAUUGAUGUUAAUUUUCUAUUUGCGCCAAAGUAAGGCAUGACUGCAACAAAUGAACCCCAGAUGCCAAUGAUCGAUGUAGUGAUGAUGAGUCAGGAAACAUAUUUACAAGUCCACUUUUAAUGAAAUUAACUGGAGCAUUCAUACUAAAAGUGGUUUAUAAGCAAUUUAUCAUGUAAAUUAUUGAAAAAAAUUGAAAUGGAUUUUAAUGCAACCCUUGUAGGAUUAUGACAUCAUUGACAUCUGGGACCCGUCUUAUAAAGAGUUACGAUUGAUCCGAUCAACCAAGAAUAUGGGAAUCCAUCAAUAUAUUUUUUCUUUAGGAAAUUCGCACAAUGUCCUUUGAAAACAAAGAGAAGCAAAAUUAAUUUUCAAGAAAACUAUGAAUGUAUGAAUAUACAUCAUUUCUAGAAUAUUUUGAAUAAACAUGUAUUUUAGAUCAUGACGUUGCUGGCUUUCCAAAGAUUUGGUUGAAGGGAUCGAUCGUAACUCUUUGUCAGACAGAGCCCAGGGGGCCGUUUCAUAAAGCUGUUCGUAAGUUAGCGACUGAAAUAACGAGUGGUGAUCCUUUCUUACCCGCUAAACCAACGCCAAAAGAAAGGAUCACCAAUCGUUUUUAAUGUCGCUCUUAACUUACGAACAGCUUUAUGAAACAAUAUGGCUACCAGUAUUCAUUCAUUGCAGUCAAACAUGCCUUUACUUUGGCGCAAAUCAAAAUGUACAUGUACGCCCCAUUAUCUAGAGUCUCGCCUGCGUAGUAAAAACAAGGCCUCACUUUUCUGACGGCUUGCUGACAACAUCGAAAAAGGUCAAUUUUUUAACUGUCUUCAUGACUUAAAAAAUACAAGGACAUGUUUCAUGAAACUUCGAUAUAUGGAUGAUAAGGUGUCAUCAGUCAUUUGGCAUGAGCUUUAGCCUUCAGGUCAAAUUGUCGAAGCCUAACGUCAGCAGGGUCAAUGAACUUUGACCAUGUUUGCUAUGAAUAUUAUAAAAAAAAUAUUUACCAAGCCUUGUUAGAUUUUGAUUUUUCAAGAUCAUUUUGAAAGAUUAAGUCUCCACUCCAUAAAAAUUAAGUAUAAUUAUCAAGUAUAAGCAAAUAGAUAGUGUAGCAUCAGGUCAGUAGAUCAAGGUAAUUUGGAGUUCAGUAAACCGGAAUCAAUUUAAAAAACAAAGGCCAUGAUUAAGGUAUUUAAAAAUAUAUAUAUUUCCACGGGCCGGAUAUAUCCUUGUCACAAAGUCAACACUAUUGCUAUAUGGAAUUGGGUAAUGCAGGCAAGAAUUCCAGGGGCCUUCCAUUAAUUAUGAAAACUUUUAAGAAUUGUUAUACCUCUAAAUGUUCUAUUUUUUUAUAUAAUUGUCCAAGACUUUGUUGUGAUUUUCCUUUUUUUUUUCUUAGUUUGUUUAUCAUGAUUAAUUGGGUCAUAAAAAUGAAAUGGAUGAUGGAUCAGUUAAUGAAUGAUUAUGAUACUUAUUCAUUCCUUCAUUUAUCCAUUCAUCCAUCCUUUUAUUCGUUCAUUAAUUCAUUUAUACAUCCAUCCAUCCUCCAUCCAUCCAUCCAUCCAUCGUUCCAUCCAUCCAUUAAUCCAUCCAUCCUAUUUCAUUAUUAUAUCUAUCCAUUCAUAUACUGUAUGGAUAAACAUAGAUUGUAAUGUUUUAUUUCUUUUCUGAUAGUGGUUUCUUGGACUGAUAUUUUUGCGUUUCCUUUUUUACAUUAUUUUAUUUAGGCACUAAUCAUCUUCAGUCGCCUUGCAGUUUUUACACAAUUAUUUGUUCACAAAUCAGGGGCAGAAGUGUAGAAAAUUGUGUAGGUCAUUUACCCUCUCCCCCCUUCUCGGAUGCAAAUUCAGAUACAAAAUAAGACUCUGUGAUAAUGCAAACAUUUUAAUUUGACCGCUUUGUUACGGACAUAAAUUUAUGGACAUUUUCCUGGAAUCUAGCUGCUGUUAAUGAAUUCGUCCAAUAAAGUUGCCUUCAUUACUUGUUCCUCCGGUCUCGUAAUUAUCAACUAAUGCUAACUUUAAGGUCGUCACUGUCAGACAUAAGUUCUACUCAGAAAAUAUGCAUAGAAUUUAGAAAGUAAAAAUAUUUCAUUGUUUGAUUUCCAUUGUUGUCUAGAUGAAAUUUUGGCUGCAUUUUAGAACUAUUUUUAGUCUGCCUGCACGAUUUACACUGUAAAAACACUGUUUAAAAUUUUAAGCAGGUUGUUUAAGCCCGUCAGUCUAACAACUACUGUCAAACUAUUUAAACAAGCUGUUUAAAAAGUCUAAACAAUUACAAAAAAAUUAAACAACUUUCUGUUAGAGUUACGGGCUUAAACAAUAUGCUAUUUCUUUUACUGUGUAUCAUUAAAUGAGUUGUGUCACAACCAUAGGAAGCGAUCAAAUGGGACGGGGGGAUGCUAACUCUUUGAUUUUCAAAUUUUGUUCAGCAUACCAUGGGAGAGUGUCACCCCCCCCCCCCCCCAUGAAGUCGCUGCCUCUGGUUGCAUCUCCUUUUGGCUCCUUGUCUUUAUUCUCGUAACGUUUCCAUAUAAAGCUUGUUCCUCGAUUUCCCCUCCCUCUUCUGUUGUCUCUCUCCCUCCCCCUCUUUUGCCUCUCUUCCCUUCUCUCAUUUCUAUCUCCCUCUUUCUGCUGAUCUCCCUUGCACAUGAGCAAGGAAGAUGAUGAUCUGCCUCUGAAGGGACUUGCACACUUGGUUCUGCGACCAUUUGAUUACAGUAUACUUCGCAAACGAUACUAAUUCUCGCAAAUGGUUCAAUGACUAAUUGUGAAAGCCCCUUUAUCUACACAAUGUUUUAAAAAAGCCUUUGAGAACAGAAUGAACUUGGUGAAGUGCAUCUUCACAUUACUUAACCCGAUUUAAAAAUCACUUGGCUUGAGCAAAAGAAUUGAACAAACUUUCAAAUAUGCUAAGAUCCAAAUAAUCUUCUGAAAGAAUGAUGUUAGAAACAUUUACUAAAGUUUGUCCAAUGAACAAGUAUAACAUUUUAGCACAGCCAAAGUGAAGUCAUUUGUACUUUCUUUGUAAAUUCCAUAGAUUCAUGUAUUACAUUUCUUUAAUGGAUUGAUGAUUAUUCAUGGAUAUAUAUUGAAUGUGUACAAAAUAUAGAGCACAUUGUUGGGAAAUACUGUUCAAGUAAAUUUAGAAUAUAUCAAAAUGUAUACAAUAAAAAUAUUUUCACUCUGUAAAGUUCAUUCUUCUAAAAUCGAAAUGACAUUGUUGAAAUUAAUCUAUAAGCUGAAAAUACUGUGAAUUUGCAUUUCACCAAUUUUACUAUUGCAAAUUGAUUACCCACAAAAUUACCAUUUGAAAAUAUCUGCCGGCAUGAAUAUUAAUUAGGCUUAUACAGUGCAGAAGGUUAUCUAAAUUGUGAUGGUCAUUGAAAACACAAAUGAAACCCCCUGCUUUCUAUUGAUAGUAAUUACCAAAUGUUCAGUGACAAAUCACACCAUUAAUGCCUAAAUUAAAAUUUCAUAUGAGCAUUGCUUCAUAAAUAUUGGAAGUGAUGGAAAUUGCACUCGGAAAAUGUCAGUCUUGAAAUUUCUUUGAAAAAACUGGAAGAGUACAAUAAGACAUAGGCCUUCUAAUUUUAGUUUACCUUCUGCAUAUUGUACAAUCUUAAACCUGGACGGUAUUCUGAAAAUCGCGUUUUCGUUGCAUUACCUUUUCUAUAUUAAGUACCAUAACUAGUUUUUAAAUGGCUGCUUUAAAUAUUCGCCCUUAAUCAAUAUGAAAAAAGGGAAGUACAUUGUGAUUACCUAUUAUUUUAAGGAAAAGGUAUAGAAAUGUUUUACAUAAUGACCAACUUAGAAGGAAAGAAAAACUUAAAGCCAAUGACGCACUCACAAAGUUAACAGAGUUGUACAGAUGACGCGAUUUUCAGAAUACAGAGCCCAGUUGCACAAAAGAUAAUAUAAAAUAGUGAUAUGGAUCCUGAUCAGAUGAUUGGCUGAAAUGACCAAUCAUAUAUUUUAGCCAACAGGAAAAUUUACAAGUGACUGGUGCUACUAAUGAUAAUAGUCUCUAAUAUAGCGCAUAUCACAAAAUAUUACUAUUUUUCCGUGCGCUGAGGAAAAAACACUGACCGACCAUGGUGUUGGAAUGAUGGUUUAUCAAGUAAUUAAGGAUCCAUAUCUCUAUCUUAUAAAACAAAUAAUACACAUUUUGCUUGGGCAUUAGAAUAAUUACACACACUAUAGUUACCUUUGAAAUGGUUUAAACACCCUCAGCUAUGCCUUGGGCGUGUUACGUCCUCAAAAAUUAUCCUGUGCGUGUAACUAUUUCUAAUACCCUACAUGAUGUGCAUUAUUCAUUGUUAUUUUUUGAGGGGGUAGGGGUGUCAUACCCCAAGGGCCCUGUUGCAUUAAAAUUAAAUUAGAGUCCUUUUGCCAUCCAAUGUUACCAUAUUAGUUAAUAUUGUGGCAAAAUGACUACAUAGUAAUUUUAUGCAAAAGGGCCCUUGGGGAUAUGGCAGCCCUACCCCCUCAAAAAAUAACAAAAGUGGGGGGGGGGGGGUGAAUGAAGAAAAAAGGGGGCGGGCAAGUCCGUUCUCGGUAUACAGAUACUCUAUUGGCACAAAUAAGCACAAGUGACAAGCAAUUUUUCCAGGAUAUAUGAAUUUAUUUUUUUCUCAGAAAAUAUAUUUAAAAAAAUUGGACCAGCAGCCGAGAAGAUUCACUCAAGUGUACAGGAUACCAUAGCAGCUGACCUCUUGCUUCAAUGGGGCAAACCCUGACCCUCACAUAAUGGCCAGCAGCCUGAUCUGAGCUGGGAUCUCCUUGUCAAAAUCACACAAUAUGUGACAUCACUACCAAGAGACCUAUUUUUCAGUGUGCAGAGAAGGGCACUGAAUACUGUUGUGCAUGGUAUACAACUUACCACAAUGAAAGUGCUCUAUCAAUGAUAUGUUGUGUAGCCAAUAGUAUGCAAGACAAUGCAUUGAUGGGGCAACAGUUACUUUUUUUUUUUUGGGGGGGGAGGGGGACUUAUAUCAAAAUUUUUGCCUCAGAAAUAAAUUUCUGUUCACCCCCCAUCUUCCCUAAUUACCCCCCCCAUUCCUCUUCCUUGCCAUAAGUCUUUUUAUUCACCCUUAAACAAAACUAAAACCUCAUAUCCUUUAAUAAUCUGCCUCCUUCCUUACAACCAUCUCCCCCCCCCCUCCCCUUCAACACAAAUAGCAGUUAAUCCACUGAUUGUGCUCUCUUUGUAUACCUCCCUGUUCUAUCCAUCCAGGGAAGCAUUCCAUGAAGAUUUGCCCAUUGACAAUCAUUUCACAUCCUUUCAACAUUAACUAUCCAUGACUGACACCAAUGUUCCAAUUUUCAAUUUAAUAUUUGAGUAAUAUUACUUAUCAUUUUCAUAUUCUUAUCAAACAAUUCAAUUUAUACCAUCACAUAAAAAAUAUUUAUUGUCUUGUUGUUUUUUGAGGGGGGGGGGGGCUUUCUUUUCAUAAGAGCAAAUGGAAUAUACUACAAAUAUAUUGCAAAUAAAUAUACUCCUUUCUGUACAUGAUGCAAUUACAUUUCUAUGAAUUUCAAUGAAUUGCAUUUUGAUCAAAAUAGAAACCAAAAGGGGACAAGAUUUAUUUUUCCCCCUGUCAAGCUAAUUUAUUCAUUCACCAUCAUACAAGAACCAAAUGUUUGCUUGCAUACUGUAUCCAUCAUGCCUCCAUGAACUCUGAGUGAUCAGGCGAGGCACCGACAAUGAAAGAUAGAUCUAAUAAGUUAGGACCUCAACAUAGGCUUGUCCUGAGGGAGCACACUUCAGAUCCCACAAUGGUUUAUAAUCCCCCAUCAAUCAUUACAAUACAAUGCAUCAACCAUAGUAGUGAAGCAAAAUGUCAAAUUUCAGGGAAGACAUCCAAUAAAAUUUAAAAAAAAAAUCUUUUCAUGGAUAUAAGAAACCAUUCCUUCAGCCGAAUGGUCAUCAGUUACAAAUGACAACUCUCACAGACAGCACUCAAUAAAAUUGCCAAAAGUUGUUCCAGACUGGAUGGAGGAAACCACUUCUUUAGCCAAAGGGUCGUGGAGUGUUGAGACAACCUACCAAAACGUGCUAUGUCAAAUCUGACAGACAGCACCAAACAAAAUUUCCCAAACUUGUCCUACACUGGAUUUCUUUAGCCAAAGGACACUGUUGAAAAAUCUACCAACUACUGCCCUACCCAAAGACCGGAAGAUGGAUGAAUGAACAGCCUAGCAUCACUUCAUGUCAAGGUUCAGGACCUGGCUGAGAUACUUCUCUGACAUGACCAGAGGAACCACAAGCAAAGACGAUGGAAAUAAUUCUAUGAUGGUUUGAAAUUAGGCGUCAUACAUGAUCACUGCAAAGAAAGUGAAAGACUUGCACGUUUCCAUGAAAGAGUUUUAGAUGGCACAAGAUCAAAGGAUAAGCAAAUUGAAUCAUUGAGAGUGGGGGCCCUUCUCCAAAACUAGUAAUGGUAAGCAGGUACAUGUACAUGCAUAACUGUCCUUAACCCUAUCUAGCCCAGGGGGAGGGGGCUUUUUUUAAAGCCCCCCUGACAUUUUUUUGGUGAAAAAUCUGUAAAAUGUAUGUUAUCAUCUGUUGCUGUGCGUAUCACAUUUGUAAACUAUAUGCAAGCCAGGAGUAAGUCUGGUAAUGUACAUGUAUGUGGCUGACUUUUAAGCCUGAUAUGUAGCCAAAAAAUGAAUACCAAAGAUAGAUGAGUGUUUUACCUAGAGCAAAAUACUGAGAAAAAUAUUUAAAAUUCUGGUUCAACCCUAAUAACACUGGGGGGGGGGGGGAGCUGAUUCAGCUGCUGUGCAAAUUUCUUUGACCGCGUCGCUCACUGACUUUUUACCUUCAAGUCUCGCGCAACUCUUGAAACCAAAAUUGGGACCACUGGUUAUGUGGUUCCGAAAUAACGCAACAUUUUGUAAACUAUAUGCAGACCCGAAAUUGCCACAAAUGUAAAUUUGUGUACAAAUCCAUGCAAAUAGUGUUUUUAGCUAUAAUUCAUAAAUGUAUCAUUAUUUUUUCUUUUACUGAGUAAAAUCAAUCAAUUUUAUCUUGUUUAUGGUCAAAAUAAAGUACCUGAUAAUUUCCAUUAAAAAACAAUAAAAUACAUAAGAAAAUAAAUGGGAUCUUGAAACUAAAGUUUUUGAAGGUAUAUUUGAUCAGAUUUCUAUAAAGAGUCUGAAUCAAAAAUUAGCAUUUUAGGGGCAUUAUUUACUUAAUUAGAGCAAACUUUUUAUUUUGUGCGGGGGGGGGGGGGGGGCUAAAAAGCCACCCCCCCCCCCCCCAUGGCUGUGCAAUUUCAAAUAGCCUGGGCUAUAUAGGGUUAAACACAGUAACUUCCCCUCACUUUAAGGGAUUACAUUUCUGAAUACCUGAAUGUGAUGAAGUUUCCUCCUCUACACAGGAAAUCUAUUCGAAAUUCUUUCCAAAGAAAGAGUGUUUCCUGCUGGACACAGAAAAUGAAUGCUGACAAAUACUUCAAGAAUCUGCCUUAUUAGAAUUCAAACAAAUGCAUUGUGGUUUGAUAAGUAGAGUCACA